UUAAGUUAGAAAGGGCGCACGGUGGAUGCCUUGACACUAGGAGUCGAUGAAGGACGGGACUAACGCCGAUAUGCUUCGGGGAGCUGUAAGUAAGCUUUGAUCCGAAGAUUUCCGAAUGGGGAAACCCACCAUACGUAAUGGUAUGGUAUCCUUAUCUGAAUACAUAGGGUAAGGAAGACAGACCCAGGGAACUGAAACAUCUAAGUACCUGGAGGAAGAGAAAGCAAAUGCGAUUUCCUGAGUAGCGGCGAGCGAAACGGAACAUAGCCCAAACCAACAGGCUUGCCUCUUGGGGUUGUAGGACAUUCUAUACGGAGUUACAAAGGAACGAGGUAGACGAAGCGACCUGGAAAGGUCCGUCGUAGAGGGUAACAACCCCGUAGUCGAAACUUCGUUCUCUCUUGAAUGUAUCCUGAGUACGGCGGAACACGUGAAAUUCCGUCGGAAUCUGGGAGGACCAUCUCCCAAGGCUAAAUACUCCCUAGUGAUCGAUAGUGAACCAGUACCGUGAGGGAAAGGUGAAAAGCACCCCGGAAGGGGAGUGAGAGAGAUCCUGAAACCGUGUGCCUACAAAUAGUCAGAGCCCGUUAACGGGUGAUGGCGUGCCUUUUGUAGAAUGAACCGGCGAGUUACGAUCCCGUGCGAGGUUAAGCUGAAGAGGCGGAGCCGCAGCGAAAGCGAGUCUGAAUAGGGCGUUUAGUACGUGGUCGUAGACCCGAAACCAGGUGAUCUACCCAUGUCCAGGGUGAAGUUCAGGUAACACUGAAUGGAGGCCCGAACCCACGCACGUUGAAAAGUGCGGGGAUGAGGUGUGGGUAGCGGAGAAAUUCCAAUCGAACCUGGAGAUAGCUGGUUCUCCCCGAAAUAGCUUUAGGGCUAGCCUUAAGUGUAAGAGUCUUGGAGGUAGAGCACUGAUUGGACUAGGGGUCCUCAUCGGAUUACCGAAUUCAGUCAAACUCCGAAUGCCAAUGACUUAUCCUUAGGAGUCAGACUGCGAGUGAUAAGAUCCGUAGUCAAAAGGGAAACAGCCCAGACCGCCAGCUAAGGUCCCAAAGUGUGUAUUAAGUGGAAAAGGAUGUGGAGUUGCUUAGACAACUAGGAUGUUGGCUUAGAAGCAGCCACCAUUUAAAGAGUGCGUAAUAGCUCACUAGUCGAGUGACUCUGCGCCGAAAAUGUACCGGGGCUAAAUACACCACCGAAGCUGCGGAUUGAUACCAAUGGUAUCAGUGGUAGGGGAGCGUUCUAAGGACAGUGAAGUCAGACCGGAAGGACUGGUGGAGUGCUUAGAAGUGAGAAUGCCGGUAUGAGUAGCGAAAGACGGGUGAGAAUCCCGUCCACCGAAUGCCUAAGGUUUCCUGAGGAAGGCUCGUCCGCUCAGGGUUAGUCAGGACCUAAGCCGAGGCCGACAGGCGUAGGCGAUGGACAACAGGUUGAUAUUCCUGUACCACCUCUUUAUCGUUUGAGCAAUGGAGGGACGCAGAAGGAUAGAAGAAGCGUGCGAUUGGUUGUGCACGUCCAAGCAGUUAGGCUGAUAAGUAGGCAAAUCCGCUUAUCGUGAAGGCUGAGCUGUGAUGGGGAAGCUCCUUAUGGAGCGAAGUCUUUGAUUCCCCGCUGCCAAGAAAAGCUUCUAGCGAGAUAAAAGGUGCCUGUACCGCAAACCGACACAGGUAGGCGAGGAGAGAAUCCUAAGGUGUGCGAGAGAACUCUGGUUAAGGAACUCGGCAAAAUGACCCCGUAACUUCGGGAGAAGGGGUGCUUUCUUAACGGAAAGCCGCAGUGAAUAGGCCCAAGCGACUGUUUAGCAAAAACACAGCUCUCUGCGAAGCCGUAAGGCGAAGUAUAGGGGGUGACACCUGCCCGGUGCUGGAAGGUUAAGGAGAGGGGUUAGCGUAAGCGAAGCUCUGAACUGAAGCCCCAGUAAACGGCGGCCGUAACUAUAACGGUCCUAAGGUAGCGAAAUUCCUUGUCGGGUAAGUUCCGACCCGCACGAAAGGUGUAACGAUUUGGGCACUGUCUCAACCAGAGACUCGGUGAAAUUAUAGUACCUGUGAAGAUGCAGGUUACCCGCGACAGGACGGAAAGACCCCGUGGAGCUUUACUGUAGCCUGAUAUUGAAUUUUGGUACAGUUUGUACAGGAUAGGCGGGAGCCUUUGAAACCGGAGCGCUAGCUUCGGUGGAGGCGCUGGUGGGAUACCGCCCUGACUGUAUUGAAAUUCUAACCUACGGGUCUUAUCGACCCGGGAGACAGUGUCAGGUGGGCAGUUUGACUGGGGCGGUCGCCUCCUAAAGUGUAACGGAGGCGCCCAAAGGUUCCCUCAGAAUGGUUGGAAAUCAUUCGUAGAGUGCAAAGGCAUAAGGGAGCUUGACUGCGAGACCUACAAGUCGAGCAGGGACGAAAGUCGGGCUUAGUGAUCCGGUGGUUCCGCAUGGAAGGGCCAUCGCUCAACGGAUAAAAGCUACCCCGGGGAUAACAGGCUUAUCUCCCCCAAGAGUCCACAUCGACGGGGAGGUUUGGCACCUCGAUGUCGGCUCAUCGCAUCCUGGGGCUGUAGUCGGUCCCAAGGGUUGGGCUGUUCGCCCAUUAAAGCGGUACGCGAGCUGGGUUCAGAACGUCGUGAGACAGUUCGGUCCCUAUCCGUCGUGGGCGUAGGAAAUUUGAGAGGAGCUGUCCUUAGUACGAGAGGACCGGGAUGGACGCACCGCUGGUGUACCAGUUGUUCUGCCAAGGGCAUAGCUGGGUAGCUAUGUGCGGAAAGGAUAAGUGCUGAAAGCAUCUAAGCAUGAAGCCCCCCUCAAGAUGAGAUUUCCCAUAGCGUAAGCUAGUAAGAUCCCUGAAAGAUGAUCAGGUUGAUAGGUUCGAGGUGGAAGCAUGGUGACAUGUGGAGCUGACGAAUACUAAUAGAUCGAGGACUUAACCAU
rnacentral:rRNA from 1 species